rnacentral:rRNA from 1 species
GAUGAACGCUAGCGGCAGGCUUAACACAUGCAAGUCGAGGGGCAGCAUGACGGAACCUUCGGGUUUUGUUGAUGGCGACCGGCGCAAGGGUGCGUAACGCGUGAGCAACUUGCCCGUUUCUGGGGAAUAACCGGUGGAAACGCCGACUAAUACCCCAUAGUAUCAUUAUUAGGCAUCUUUUGAAGUUGAAAGUUCAGGCGGUUAUGGAUGGGCAUGCGUUGUAUUAGCUAGAUGGUGAGGUAACGGCUCACCAUGGCUACGAUACAUAGGGGGACUGAGAGGUUAACCCCCCCACACUGGUACUGAGACACGGACCAGACUCCUACGGGAGGCAGCAGUGAGGAAUAUUGGUCAAUGGACGCAAGUCUGAACCAGCCAUGCCGCGUGCAGGAUGACGGCUCUAUGAGUUGUAAACUGCUUUUGUACAAGGGUAAACCCUGGGACGUGUCCCAGGCUGAAAGUACUGUACGAAUAAGGAUCGGCUAACUCCGUGCCAGCA